rnacentral:rRNA from 1 species
GACGAACGCUGGCGGCAUGCCUAAUACAUGCAAGUCGAGCGAACAGAUGAAGUGCUUGCACUUCUGACGUUAGCGGCGAACGGGUGAGUAACACGUAAGGAAUCUACCUAUAAGCGGGGGAUAACAUUCGGAAACGGGUGCUAAUACCGCAUAAUAUCUUCUUCCGCAUGGAAGAAGAUUGAAAGACGGCUCUGCUGUCACUUAUAGAUGACCUUGCGGUGCAUUAGUUAGUUGGUGGGGUAAUGGCCUACCAAGACGAUGAUGCAUAGCCGACCUGAGAGGGUGAUCGGCCACAUUGGGACUGAGACACGGCCCAAACUCCUACGGGAGGCAGCAGUAGGGAAUCUUCCGCAAUGGGCGAAAGCCUGACGGAGCAAUGCCGCGUGAGUGAAGAAGGCCUUCGGGUCGUAAAACUCUGUUAUAAGAGAAGAACAAAUUGUAGAGUAACUGCUACAGUCUUGACGGUAUCUUAUCAGAAAGCCACGGCUAACUAC